CCUAAGAAUUCAAGUGCUGGUAAUGCUGCACUCCCCGCGGAUGUCUAUCUUGUCUGGGGCUCUGUACCGCCCCAGAGUCAGGCAAUGGCAGCUGCUCCAUCAUUGUACAGAAGUUCUGCUGACUGGACUGCCCUGGGCUCUUCUUCCAGGAAAGUGGGCCCCUUUUGUCGAACCUGCAACAGGGCCUUUUCAACUCGUGGUAGCCUCAACCGACACAUGGAGAUGCAUCGGCCAUUUCGUGUCAAGCAUGCCUGCCACCUCUGCACCAAGGAAUUCGCAUGGCCUAGCGAUCUCACCACACAUCUGCGCAUCUCCCACGGGUCACCUCAUACACGUCGUGUUGGACGCAUCAGCUACACCAAAGCAAAGCUACCUCCCAGCUGAGACCCUCAUUUGUUUUCUUUGCCUGCAUUUCAUGGCACUGUUUACCUCUCAUUUGUGUGUACUGACAAGGUUCACGAGGUUCACGUGGCAGCCUGUUUCUUGGGAGCGAGACAUUGUGGGUUUGACUCCCAACAAUCCCAGCUUCAUUUUAUUAUGAUGCACUGCCAAGCUUUCAUAUGGCAUUCCCUAAAAUUCUUGUAGGUGGACGUAUUGGAGCCUUCUAAAGCAUUGGCACACCACUUGGUGGUGACAUUACACCACAGCAGUUAAACUUUAAGAGGUAAAUAUGUAUUAGAUGCUAUAACUAUUCUACCAUGCCUUGCAUCAUAUUUUCAAGGAACAUUCUUUUCUUAUUGCAAGAAUCCUUACUGCACUUUUCAGAAAUGUUGUGCUGCACUGUUUUAUUGAUUGAGGGUGCUCAAGAUCAACAACCUAUUCAGGGGGACAGACACAAGUUCCCAAGUUGCAUAGCCAUAACACACUUCAUUUUAGCUAAAGCUAAUUACCAAAGCUGCCAUUUUAAGAAUUAAAGAGAAAAAAAAUGCCAUGAGUUAAUGAUGCUUGUAACAGUAAAACCUAAUUCAUUCCUUUUUUUUAUGGUACUGCAAAAAAAAAAUGUGUAAACUAGGAAAACAUACUUUUCAAAUGCAUUCAUAUAUCUUAUAUUAGAUUGAACUUUAAUUUGUGACAACUUUGCCUUACAUGCUUUAAAUGGUAUUAGUAUUUGUACCCCUUUUCCUUUCACUUUGAGAAUACCUGUUUUAUCACUUGCAGCAUCGUAUGUUUAUCAGAAUAUCAUAAAAGGUCAAAAGGCUUGUAAACUGAGCUUAUUGGUACAUAUAUCUACAUCAGUAUUUGGGAACAACAUGAAAAGAAAAAAAAAAAGAAAAAAAUUACAAGGGUACAUGUUUGCAAACAAACAACACCUAUCUAAGUUGUUGUUA
rnacentral:lncRNA from 1 species